GAACUGCGAUAAGUAAUGUGAAUUGCAGAAUUCAGUGAAUCAUCGAGUCUUUGAACGCACAUUGCGCCCCCUGGCAUUCCGGGGGGCAUGCCUGUCCGAGCGUCAUUGCUGCCCUUCAAGCCCGGCUUGUGUGUUGGGUCGUCGUCCCCUCCGGGGGACGGGCCCGAAAGGCAGCGGCGGCACCGCGUCCGGUCCUCGAGCGUAUGGGGCUUUGUCACCCGCUCGAUAAGGACCGGCCGGGCGCCAGCCGGCGUCUCCAACCUUUUUUUCUCAGGUUGACCUCGGAGCAGGUAGGGAUAUCCGCUGAACUUAAGC
rnacentral:misc_RNA from 1 species